rnacentral:misc_RNA from 1 species
GAUGAAGAACGUAGCGAAAUGCGAUACUUGGUGUGAAUUGCAGAAUCCCGUGAACCAUCGAGUCUUUGAACGCAAGUUGCGCCCGAAGCCAUUAGGCCGAGGGCACGCCUGCCUGGGCGUCACACGUCGUUGCCCCCCCUUCUACUCCUUCGGGAUUGCGGGGGGCGGAUGAUGGCCUCUCGUGCGCCUCGUCGCGCGGUUGGCCUAAAUGCCAAGUCCUCGGCGACGCACGCCACGACAAUCGGUGGUUGCGAAACCUCGGUUGCCUGUCGUGUGCGGUCGUCGCGCAUCGAGGGCUCGAAAAAAUUGCCGGGCUUCGGCUCGACUUUCAACGCGACCCCAGGUCAGGCGGGGUUACCCGCUGAAUUUAAGCAUAUCAAUAAGCGGAGGA